rnacentral:rRNA from 1 species
GGAGUCUGCAACUCGACUCCAUGAAGUCGGAAUCGCUAGUAAUCGCAGGUCAGAAUACUGCGGUGAAUACGUUCCCGGGCCUUGUACACACCGCCCGUCACACCAUGGGAGUGGGAUGCAAAAGAAGUAGUUAGUUUAACCUUCGGGAGAACGAUUACCACUUUGUGUUUCAUGACUGGGGUGAAGUCGUAACAAGGUAACCCUAGGGGAACCUGGGGU